rnacentral:rRNA from 1 species
GAUGAACGCUGGCGGCGUGCCUAAUACAUGCCAGUCGAGCGAACAGACGAGGAGCUUGCUCCUCUGACGUUAGCGGCGGACGGGUGAGUAACACGUGGAUAACCUACCUAUAAGACUGGGAUAACUUCGGGAAACCGGAGCUAAUACCGGAUAAUAUAUUGAACCGCAUGGUUCAAUAGUGAAAGACGGUUUUGCUGUCACUUAUAGAUGGAUCCGCGCCGCAUUAGCUAGUUGGUAAGGUAACGGCUUACCAAGGCGACGAUGCGUAGCCGAUCUGAGAGGGUGAUCGGCCACACUGGAACUGAGACACGGUCCAGACUCCUACGGGAGGCAGCAGUAGGGAAUCUUCCGCAAUGGGCGAAAGCCUGACGGAGCAACGCCGCGUGAGUGAUGAAGGUCUUCGGAUCGUAAAACUCUGUUAUUAGGGAAGAACAAAUGUGUAAGUAACUAUGCACGUCUUGACGGUACCUAAUCAGAAAGCCACGGCUAACUACGUG